AUGUGCACACGUGACAGGAAUAUUUGGCGGGUGAGAUGCCCACUGAUAUGCUUCUAUGCUGUCGAGUGGCACUACCCAUACCGUGUCGCAAGACAAUUUGGGAGAAGGCAAGGGACACCAAGGGAUGAGAGUUUCGAGACAAGCCAAUUUCUGCAUCGAAUUAGUCGAAAGAAUAACCCGGAAACUUCGACUUGGGCCAUCAAGCACUCCGAGUGGAUAAGUCUGUGGAAUCAAAGAGUGGCCCUAGUGGAGAAGCAAAGAAGACAACAUAGUGAUUCAGUAUACGAAGAGCAUCUAAAGUGGCUUGCGAGACGUUACCGGUUGAAGCUAAAGCCCGGUUGGAACCAUUCGGAAUUGGAAGAGUUGGAUCGUGAGAGCGGGUAUAUGGACUUCAAUGUACAAACGAGAGACAACGAAGGGACACAACUUGACUAUGCACAACUACACGACCGAGUGGGCAUGGAGUUAUUGCAUUGUGUUAACGAGGCUGGUGUAGCACUUGGUGAAGAUGAGGGAAGUGGAUCAUCUGAGAAAUCUCUUAGGAAAACAAUGAAGAGUUUCGUGAGUCGAUUCCACAAGAUGGCAGCUAUGCUCUCUUGCCAUGGAAGUAAAGCCGUCCUCACGGCUGGAGCUUCUACUAGCCGGGACAAUAGACGUCGUCGUCGUCUUGUCUUGCAACAGGAACAACAAGAGGAGCAACUGCAAGAAGAGCCAGAGCAAGAGGAGGCGCAGCAAGAUGAAGAGGAGUACAAUCAAGACGAAAAGGAGGUGCUAGGGAUGUCCCAAAUGGAUGAUGCGCCUGAGCCAUCACAGCCCACACAACGCACGCCGCGCAGCAAAAGAGGAAGGAAGAAGUGA
rnacentral:rRNA from 1 species